AUUGAACGCUGGCGGCAUGCCUUACACAUGCAAGUCGAACGGCAGCACGGGGCAACCUGGUGGCGAGUGGCGAACGGGUGAGUAAUGCAUCGGAACGUGCCAUUGAGUGGGGGAUAACGUAGCGAAAGUUGCGCUAAUACCGCAUAUUCUGUGAGCAGGAAAGCAGGGGACCGCAAGGCCUUGCGCUCUUUGAGCGGCCGAUGUCAGAUUAGCUAGUUGGUGAGGUAACGGCUUACCAAGGCGACGAUCUGUAGCGGGUCGGAGAGGAUGAUCCGCCACACUGGAACUGAGACACGGUCCAGACUCCUACGGGAGGCAGCAGUGGGGAAUUUUGGACAAUGGGCGCAAGCCUGAUCCAGCCAUGCCGCGUGAGUGAAGAAGGCCU
rnacentral:rRNA from 1 species